rnacentral:misc_RNA from 1 species
GAAAUGCGAUAAGUAAUGUGAAUUGCAGAAUUCAGUGAAUCAUCGAAUCUUUGAACGCACAUUGCGCCCGCCAGCAUUCUGGCGGGCAUGCCUGUCCGAGCGUCAUUUCAACCCUCGCCGCCCCCCGGGGCGGCGGUGUUGGGGGCCGGCGAACCCGCCGCCCCCGAAAACCAGUGGCGGUCCCGCCGCGGCCUCCCUUGCGUAGUAGCACAACCUCGCACCGGAGCGCGGCGCGGCCACGCCGUAAAACCCCCGACCCCCCACGAGUUUGACCUCGGAUCAGGUAGGAAUACCCGCUGAACUUAA